AGCUUUGAUAUAACAACUGCCUUCUGAAAAGGCACAGACAGGGCAUUUUGUGCAAAUUAACUUUCCCUGCUUAUUGUACAACAUUCAGAAACUGACCAGAGAAUUUAGCUUUUUAGGGAAAAUAGACAAAUUGGAAACAGUAGAGAGAAAUUAUAUAAUACACAGUGAUACAAUGUACUGUGAUUGCAGUGUGUUACAGAGUGG